rnacentral:rRNA from 1 species
AACUACAAGCGAAAGCACAAAAUUCAAAGGACUUGACGGUGUACCAUAUCAACCUAGAGGAGCCUGUCCUAUAAUCGAUAAUCCACGUUUUACCUCACCCACUUUUGCACUACCAGCCUGUAUACCGCCGUCGCCAGCCCAUCUAAUGAUAGAAUAAAAAUGGACAAAAUUGUACUACUACAAAAACGUCAGGUCAAGGUGCAGCUAAUAAGUGGGCUGAGAUGGGCUACAUUUUUUAAACUAAAAAACUACUACAAGCAACAUGAAACACGAGCUAUUAAGGUGGAUUUAGCAGUAAAUAUGUGCAAGAAUGCCAUAUUGAAACCUGUUCUGGAACGCGUACACACCGCC